AUUGAACGCUGGCGGCAUGCCUUACACAUGCAAGUCGAACGGCAGCACGGGUGCUUGCACCUGGUGGCGAGUGGCGAACGGGUGAGUAAUAUAUCGGAACAUACCCUAGAGUGGGGGAUAACGUAGCGAAAGUUACGCUAAUACCGCAUACGAACUAAGGUUGAAAGUGGGGGAUCGCAAGACCUCAUGCUCAUGGAGUGGCUGAUAUCUGAUUAGCUAGUUGGUGAGGUAAAGGCUCACCAAGGCGACGAUCAGUAGCUGGUUUGAGAGAACGACCAGCCACACUGGAACUGGGACACGGUCCAGACUCCUACGGGAGGCAGCAGUGGGGAAUGUUGGACCAUGGGGGCAACCCUGAUCCAGCAAUGCCGCGUGAGUGAAGAAGGCCCUCGGGUUGUAAAGCUCUUUUGUCAGGGAAGAAACGGUCUACUCUAAUACAGUGGGCUAAUGACGGUACCUGAAGAAUAAGCACCGGCUAACUACGUGCCAGCCGCCGCGGUAAUAC
rnacentral:rRNA from 1 species